rnacentral:rRNA from 2 species
UGGCGGCACUAGCGCGGUGGUCCCACCUGACCCCAUGCCGAACUCAGAAGUGAAACGCCGUAGCGCCGAUGGUAGUGUGGGGUCUCCCCAUGUG